AAACAGAGACAAAAUCUUCACUAUUGAGUAUUCUAUUAAGGACCAGAUGGAGUUUAAAAAGAAUUGAAAAGACCUGGAAGUAGAAGCCGAACCCACUGGUCUGACAAACGACACAAGAAGGAAGAGGUGCAUACAAGCAACAUGAUGGUAUACCCACUUUUUGGAUGAGAUUCUAUAAACAAUACAGUGUACAAACUAAAUUGGUGAUCUACUUUUCAUCCUGCGCUUUUAGAAGCACGUUACCAAUCUAGCAUGUGCAAGCUACCAAUCUAGUGGCAUUCCCGUGCCGUGAAUAAUGUAAACCGGCCAUAAAAACGUCCACGCCUCUGUAGUUCAACAAACCUUUUCAUUCAUUCACGCUUCCGUAACAUUCACUCACUCGGGGAUUUGUAAUUAUUGUAGCGAUUUAUAUUUUAUUUUGUAGUGUUAAUUUAAAUUUUGGAAGAUUUUAAAGGGAACCGAGGCAUGGCAUAGUUAUAUUACCUGGGCUGUAUAACAGCAGCUACAGCAGUGCUAAAACUGACUGGGAAUAAGCGUUACAAGUGUUCACAAGACUAUUGGAAUUGGUAUCAAACAAAGAUCUGCAAAAAUGUCUCGAGUAGCUAAUACUUUGGAUAUGCAGCAGAUUGAAUUUCGUGCUGUCAUCAAAUUCCUUACAAAACAAGGAAAAGGACCUUCAGUCAUUUUAAGUGAAAUGAAAGCAGUAUAUGGUGAUAAAUGUCCUGGCAAAACUAUGGUAUACAAAUGGAUUAGCAUGUUUCAAGAGGGAAGGGAAAUGAUUGAAGAUAAACCUAGGGCCUUGACUUUUAAGCGCCGUCGCACAGAACCUACCCCUCUAUUCAAAGAGAUCCCACCACCAAAAGACUAUAAGGAAAUUGAUGUUAUGGACAGCGCUUUUGAUGAUGAAGCUUUCAUAGAUGAGCUACAGAAUGAAUACCUUGAUUCUGAGCCUUAAAUGGCAGCAUAGCACAGGUUUUAGAGUAGUAUCUUGACCAAAUUUGUAAAUAAAAACUGCACCUCAAUAUGCUGGACAUGUAAAAUGAUGGUAACAGAUUGAAAAAUGUAAUGGAGAAAAUGAGUGAUGAUUGAGGUGCAUACAAUGCACAAAAAUCCAGAAAAAAAGGCCUAGGCCAAAGGAUGAUCUUUAGAAUUUAACAAAAGGCUCAAAGCAUUGAAUAUCUGAAAUUCUAAAUCUUUAAUUUGGAGACAUAAUAUGACUUCAAACAUUAUUUGAUUCAGUGUUGAUGUGUGGUGAUUAUAUUAAAAUUACUCUUGUAACAAACAGCACGAAAAUAACAUUUGUGUGUCUUUAUAAGUAGUUUUAAUAGGUACUUCUAUGAUGCAAAAUAAUGAAAUGCUUUUUUCAACAGUAAUACAGUUUUAAUAUAUUAUAUGUAAUACAUUGUCAAAUCUACAUUGUAAAAUAUCAACUGAAUAAAACAUAAUCAUUUCCUUCAACGAGAUUCAAUGA